rnacentral:misc_RNA from 1 species
CCUCCUUAACGAAAGCUGGAGGUUUCGGUCAGAGUCCACACGAAUUACUUGGUUAACGUGAAGAGAGCAAAAGGGUCUUUGCAGGCCCGACUGGUCUUGUCGAACCGACAAGCAAAACCGGGUCUGUAGCUCAGGUGGUUAGAGCGCACCCCUGAUAAGGGUGAGGUCGGUGGUUCAAGUCCACCCAGACCCACCAGAAUUUCGCUGCUCGUCGUUGCUUCCAGGCUCACGUGCUACUCGCACGCUACACCUGAAAGCGCCUAGAUCAGCAAAAUUCUUGGCUACUGUAAGGGGCUGUAGCUCAGUUGGGAGAGCGCCUGCCUUGCACGCAGGAAGUCAGCGGUUCGAUCCCGCUCACUCCACCAAAACUACCCUGAACCGAUUACCCUGGCAACGUUAGUGUACAGAAACGAAUGUUUCAAAAUGCUGAAGCCUUCCUUUUCUGAUCACUGGGUCAAAAUUGCUCUUUUACAA